rnacentral:lncRNA from 1 species
GGUGCAGGAAAUAAUUUUGUAUAGCAUUUAGAAAAAGAAAUAGGAUUUUAUUACCAUGUAAACUUUAAGGUGCCGUUUGGUUCGGGUAUAAGCAAGAACUAGCUAUUACAGGGAUAGGUACAAGUAUGCGGAUAAAAAAAAUAGUGUUUGGAUGAAAAUUGGGUUGUUUCCGGGGAUAAGAACAAUUUUAGAUAGUUUUAUAUAGAAAAUGGAGGUGUUGAUGGGUAUAACCAAAAAUUACUAUUCUCGGGUAAAAAAUUAGCUUUUGGAUAUAAAAGGGAGGAUAAGGGCCUAUUUCCCUAUCCCCUAACCUAUUAAAUUUAAAUUUGAAAGUUAAUUAUGUAACAAUUUGUCACACAAACUUAGCUUCUAUCAAAAUUGUUUUAAUUAUAAAUUAAAUUAAAUUAGUUGAAAUGAGUCUAUUAGACCCACAUCAAAUAUCUGUCCACACUAAUAAGUUCUCCACGCAUUACCACUUGUCCCCACCUCUUAUUUAUUCUAUUUCUAUUUCUUAUUAUUAUUAUUAUUAUUAUUAUUAUUAUUAUUUUAUGUCUCCUUCUUCUUGUUCUUCGACGUGGUUAAGAAACACAAAUUGUUGAGCUUCAUUAUUUUCACCCUGUUGGAACCAUUCCAAAGAUAAAUAUAUAUAUAUAUAUAUAUAUAUAUAACAAAAACAAACAUUCCAAGAAAUGUGAUGUGUGGAUGUUUUUUUUUUUUUUUUNGUUUUAUAUAGAAAAUGAAGGUGUUGGUGGGGAUAACCAAAAACUACUAUUCUCGAAUAAAAAAUUAGUAUUUGGGUAUAAAGGGGAGAAUAAGGGCCU